rnacentral:rRNA from 1 species
AUUGAACGCUGGCGGCAUGGCUAAAACAUGCAAGUCGAACGACUAGCAAUAGAAGUGGCGAAAGGGCGAGGAAUAGAUUCCCACGUACCCCGAGGUCAGGGAUACCUCAGAGAAAUCUGAGACAAUACCUGAUAAUAUCGGAAACGAUCAAAGGUUUACCACCUUGGGAGCGGGGAAUCUCCUAUCAGCUAGUUGGUGAGGUAACGGCUCACCAAGGCGAAGACGGGUAGCGGGUGUGAGAGCACGGCCCGCCGCAUCGAGACUGAGACACUGCUCGGACUCCUACGGGAGGCUGCAGUAACGAAUCUUCCGCAAUGCACGAAAGUGUGACGGGGCGAUGCCGCGUGUGGGAUGAAGCCCUUAGGGGUGUAAACCACUGUCAGGGACUACCAACAACAUGAGGAGUCCCAAAGGAAGAGCCGGCUAACUCUGUGCCAGCAGCCGCGGUAAUACAGAGGGCUCGAGCGUUAAUCGGAAUCACUGGGCUUAAAGCGUGCGUAGGCGGAUUUGAAGGCGCUUUGUGAAAUCCCUCGGCUCAACCGAGGAACUGCUUGGCGAACCACAAAUCUUGAGGCUGGUAGAGGUGGUCGGAACAAUAGGUGGAGCGGUGAAAUGCGUAGAUAUCUAUUGGAACACCGAAGGUGAAGACAGGCCACUGGGCCAGUCCUGACGCUGAGGCACGAAAGCGUGGGUAGCAAACGGGAUUAGAUACCCCGGUAGUCCACGCCGUAAACGAUGCGCACUUGGUCGAGGGGGUUGAACGCCUUCUCGGCCGUAGGAAAACUGAUUAGUGCGCCGCCUGGGGAGUACGGUCGCAAGAUUAAAACUCAAAGGAAUUGACGGGGGCUCACACAAGCGGUGGAGCAUGUGGCUUAAUUCGAAGCAACGCGAAGAACCUUAUCCUAGGCUUGACAUGCACGGAUUAACCUCCUGAAAGGGAGGCAACACUCGCAAGA